UUUUCAUAAUAAAAAAUAAAAAAAUUAAAAGAUCUGUUCUUAUCAGUUUAAUAUCUGAUACGUCCCCUAUCUAGGGACUACGUAUUAAACUGAUUUUUGGGACUGGGAGUCAGAGAAGAAACUUGCUCCGUCCGCUCCACGCAUCGACCUGGUAUUGCAGUACGUCCAGGAACGGUGUGCCUCUA